UACGUAGGGGGCAAGCGUUGUCCGGAAUCAUUGGGCGUAAAGCGCGUGUAGGCGGCUCGAUAAGUCUGCUGUGAAAGUCCAGGGCUCAACCCUGGGAUGCCGGUGGAUACUGUCGAGCUCGAGUCCGGAAGAGGCGAGUGGAAUUCCUGGUGUAGCGGUGAAAUGCGCAGAUAUCAGGAGGAACACCAAUGGCGAAGGCAGCUCGCUGGGACGGUACUGACGCUGAGGUGCGAAAGCGUGGGGAGCAAACAGG
rnacentral:rRNA from 1 species